UGAACGCUGGCGGCGUGCUUAACACAUGCAAGUCGAACGAAGCACUUUAUUACGAUUUCUUCGGAAUGACGAUUUAGUGACUGAGUGGCGACGGGUGAGUAACGCGUGGGUAACCUGGCCUUAUACAGGGGGAUAACAGUUGGAAACGACUGCUAAUACCGCAUAAGCGCACAGUACCGCAUGGUACAGUGUGAAAAACUCCGGUGGUGUGAGAUGGACCCGCGUCUGAUUAGCUAGUUGGCAGGGCAACGGCCUACCAAGGCGACGAUCAGUAGCCGACCUGAGAGGGUGAUCGGCCACAUUGGGACUGAGACACGGCCCAGACUCCUACGGGAGGCAGCAGUGGGGAAUUUUGGACAAUGGGGGCAACCCUGAUCCAGCCAUGCCGCGUGCAGGAUGAAGGCCUUCGGGUUGUAAACUGCUUUUGUCAGGGACGAAAAGGACCGUGUUAAUACCAUGGUCUGCUGACGGUACCUGAAGAAUAAGCACCGGCUAACUACGUG
rnacentral:rRNA from 1 species